GUGCUCACUUCAGCAGCACAUAUACUAAAAUUAGAAUGAUACGGAGAAGAUUAGCAUGGCCACGUGCAAGGAUGACUUGCAAAUUCAUGAAAUGUACCACACUUUU